AGGUUGACAGGCUUGAAGAUGACUUAGAACAGGAAAGGAAACACAAGCUGGAACUACAAGCCGAGAUGGAGGCCACGCUCCAGGAUCUGAGUAACUUGUAGAACCAGGGCUAGUUUUAGAUGAUCUACACAAUUUUUGUACAGAUGAACUGCUUGCAGAAAAGGAGCGAUACAAAGCCAUUAGUGACGAGCUGGAUCAGACUUUUGCCGAGCUGGCAGGAUAUUAAUUUUUCCUCUCUCCCUCACCUCUGUCAAAGGCCAACACGAGACGGAAGGACUUUUUUCACAGCUGGCACGGUCACUGUUGUAAAUGGACAUUUUAUUAUGUUUCAUCUGUAUAAUGGUGUUAGAGAUAUAAACAAAAUGUGGACGG
rnacentral:misc_RNA from 1 species